CUCUCUGCUUGAGUGGAACAGUAUUCAGAGGAAUGAAUGUAGACUUUUCUCAUCAUUUUCAUUCUCACUGAUGAAACCACUUUCAUAUCCACUGUCUGAGAAGAUAGCAUCUAGUGUGGAGAGAGUAUCUGGGAUGAACUCGGCAUUCCUCUUGUCAGGUUCACCCAAACAAGAGAGAGGCAUAACCCAAGGAGAGCCGGUAGCAAAGAGAGAAACAGGAAUCAAGUAAGCAAAGUCUGAGGUGCUUUCAUGGAUGAAACCAGCCUAAAAGUGCUGUGAGAGGCAGAAACAAAGAAAGCUGGAGACAACAUGAUCAGAAUGACAGAG
rnacentral:sRNA from 2 species